AUUAAUCAUGGUCAAGAGCUAGAAGUGUUGGAAGGAGCGAGAGAAUUAAUAAUGCUAUGACUUUUAUUUUUUUAAUUUUUCUGUAUGACGAAUAAAAGGUGGAUAGAGAGAAUCAUUAAUUUUUUUAUAUUUUCAUUAAUGUGGUAUUUAUACUUUCCUGAGCGUUAUUCUAUUGAAAAUAAUCUCUAUCAUUACAAGGUGGGGAUAAGAUUUGCAUACACAAUAUCCUUUUUUGAUUCCACGGUGUGGAAUAAUACUGGGUAUAUUGUUAUCGUAUGGCAUCCACCUCAAUGACAAACUCUAAGUUGUGAUUAGCUCUUCCAGCAUGAUUUACUUUGGAUAUAUACACUGACAUUGUAAAUACCAGAAAAGUAAUAGGAAAAUCUAAAGUUAUACCAGUAAAUCUAUGUUUGUUCACAUUAUUUUUUAAU
rnacentral:lncRNA from 1 species